rnacentral:rRNA from 1 species
UACGUAGGGUCCGAGCGUUGUCCGGAAUUAUUGGGCGUAAAGGGCUCGUAGGCGGUCUGUCGCGUCGGGCGUGAAAUUUUACAGCUUAACUGUGAACGUGCUUUCGAUACGGGCAGACUGGAGGUAUGCAGGGGAGAACGGAAUUCCUGGUGUAGCGGUGAAAUGCGCAGAUAUCAGGAGGAACACCAAUAGCGAAGGCAGCUCGCUGGAACGUUACUGACACUGAGGCGCGAAAGCGUGGGGAGCGAACAGG